GUGCUUGCUUCGGCAGUACAUGUACUAAAAUUGGAACAAUACAGAGAACAUUAGCACGGCCCCUUCACAAGGAUGACA
rnacentral:snRNA from 1 species